AUGAACGCUGGCGGCGUGCUUAACACAUGCAAGUCGAACGGUGAAGCCCAGCUUGCUGGGUGGAUCAGUGGCGAACGGGUGAGUAACACGUGAGCAACCUGCCCCUGACUCUGGGAUAAGCGCUGGAAACGGCGUCUAAUACUGGAUACGAGUAGCGACCGCAUGGUCAGUUACUGGAAAGAUUUAUUGGUUGGGGAUGGGCUCGCGGCCUAUCAGCUUGUUGGUGAGGUAAUGGCUCACCAAGGCGUCGACGGGUAGCCG
rnacentral:rRNA from 1 species